GUUUCCGUAGUGUAGUGGUUAUCACGUUCGCUUCACACGCGAAAGGUCCCCGGUUCGAUCCCGGGCGGAAACA
rnacentral:tRNA from 1 species